CUAGCUUCUCAUUUCUUUCUCCAGAACCCUUCGGUACCUUAGGCAUACCUUCUAAUAUUUUGAACAGGUCUGCCGACCCCAGCGCCAAGAAUUUUUCAAUGAAUAGAAGAAAAGAUGAGAAGAUCCAGAAUUUGCAUUUCACAUUAUAAACUGACAAAACGGCUUGUUGUCCAUCCUCACAGCUCUUUCUCACUUGAUUCACGAAAUUUAUAUAUUAUUUGAUGUUGGUUUCUUAACAACCUCGGUGCCUGCAGGUGGAUGGAUACGGGAGAUUAUCAUCUGCAAGAUAUAUAAAUGGUGCAGGAAUUGAGUGUACCAUUGAUCAUAUCAAAUCAAGAAAAGAUGGGGGAGGUCACAAGUGUGAGGCAGGACGUGGACUGCCAGAGGCCCAAAAAACCAGAAGAAGUUACCUGUCAGCAUGGAAGACACUGGCCGCAUGCAAUUGCUGAAGAUUGUUUGGUAGUUUUUAUUUAUCUGUGGGGAUCAUGGACAUGCCACCAACAACUUCUGCUUAAUCUUUUAACCAAAUGGAACUACUGCUGGGCUGUCUGUCUGUC